CCCUACGGGGCGCAGCAGUGGGGAAUAUUGGGCAAUGGGCGCAAGCCUGACCCAGCAACGCCGCGUGAAGGAAGAAGGCUUUCGGGUUGUAAACCUCUUUUCUGAGGGACGAAGAAAGUGACGGUACCUCAGGAAUAAGCCACGGCUAACUACGUGCCAGCAGCGGCGGUAAUACGUAGGUGGCAAGCGUUAUCCGGAUUUAUUGGGUGUAAAGGGCGUGUAGGCGGGAAUGCAAGUCAGAUGUGGAAACUAUGGGCUCAAACCAUAGCCUGCAUUUGAAACUGUAUUUUUUGA
rnacentral:rRNA from 1 species